rnacentral:SRP_RNA from 1 species
GGGCAGGCUAUAUCGGGAGGUUAGCCCUCUCCUGCACGGCAAAUGGGCUUCACGGCCGGAUUAGGUCCUGAUUGAGGCAUAAGUCAUAAGCAUUGGUCUUGGCUUGGCCGAUGAAAUUCUGUCCUGUAGGAUCGAUGCUUUAGGGAAAUGUGUCAGGUUCGGAAGAAAGCAGCACUAACUUUUAGCAUUGGUGCUUAUGGGGUAGCGGAAUGGAGAAGAAGUCAAGGUUAACUGGUGCUUGUGGCUUAUCUCGAUUUCAGGAUGCCUGCCC